GUGCUUGCCUCAGCAGCGCAAAUACUAAAAUUGGAAUGAUACAGAGAAGAUUCGCGUGUCCCCUGUGCAAGGAUGACAUGCAGAUUCGUGAAACGUUCUGUUUUUUC